rnacentral:rRNA from 1 species
UGGGGAAUAUUGCACAAUGGGCGAAAGCCUGAUGCAGCAACGCCGCGUGAGCGAUGAAGGCCUUCGGGUCGUAAAGCUCUGUCCUAUGGGAAGAUAAUGACACCAUAGGAGGAAGC